rnacentral:rRNA from 1 species
CCCUGUGACAUACCUAUACGUUGCCUCGGCGGAUCAGCCCGCGCCCCGUAAAACGGGACGGCCCGCCCGAGGACCCCUAAACUCUGUUUUUAGUGGAACUUCUGAGUAAAACAAACAAAUAAAUCAAAACUUUCAACAACGGAUCUCUUGGUUCUGGCAUCGAUGAAGAACGCAGCAAAAUGCGAUAAGUAAUGUGAAUUGCAGAAUUCAGUGAAUCAUCGAAUCUUUGAACGCACAUUGCGCCCGCCAGUAUUCUGGCGGGCAUGCCUGUUCGAGCGUCAUUUCAACCCUCAAGCUCAGCUUGGUGUUGGGACUCGCGGUAACCCGCGUUCCCCAAAUCGAUUGGCGGUCACGUCGAGCUUCCAUAGCGUAGUAAUCAUACACCUCGUUACUGGUAAUCGUCGCGGCCACGCCGUAAAACCCCAACUUCUGAAUGUUGACCUCGGAUCAGGUAGGAAUACCCGCUGAACUUAAGCAUAUCAAUAAGCGGAGGAA